GUCGAACGCUGGCGGCAGGCCUAACACAUGCAAGUCGAACGAGUGGCGGACGGGUGAGUAAUGUCUGGGAAACUGCCUGAUGGAGGGGGAUAACUACUGGAAACGGUAGCUAAUACCGCAUACCAUCAGAUGUGCCCAGAUUGGAUUAGCUAGUAGGUGGGGUAACGGCUCACCUAGGCGCCGAUUCCUAGCUGGUCUGAGAGGAUGACCAGCCACACUGGAACUGAUACACGGUCCAGACUCCUACGUGAGGCAGCAGUGGGGAAUAUUGAACAAUGGGCGCAAGCCUGAUACAGCCAUGCCGCGUGUAUGAAGAAGGCCUUCGGGUUGUAAAGUACUUUCAGCGGGGAGGCGUUACCCGCAGAAGAAGCACCGGCUAACUCCGUGCCAGCAGCCGCGGUAAUAC
rnacentral:rRNA from 1 species